GUGUCGUGUAUGGAGGAGACCUAUCAAACAUUGGUAGACAAACAUAACACUUCUGUUUUCUGCAGCUUGGCUGGCAUUUAAUAUUUUGCAGCAAAUUUUUAGUUUAACAUAUUUGAACUUGUACUAGAUAGGGUUAAUAGGUUGGCACAAAAGGUCAAAUUAUAAGGCAUUAGGCUUAAUUAAGGGAGAGCAGGAGUGGCAGGAGUAUGUGACAGUUAAAUGGGUUUCCCACAGACUAAUGUCGGUUACAGUGCAACCAUGCCUCAACUUAAGUGAGUUAUUUUCUGGAAAGGGCAAUAGUGAUUAACAGUUUGACAUGCUAGACAUUUCUAGCCAAUCCCAUCUGUUUUAGAGGUUAAGAAAGCACACCUUUAUGAGCUGAUGGAUUGAUUUGUGUGCCUGUCUGCUAAAGAUUAGAAGUCCAAGGCCAGUGCCGUAAAUGUCAGUUAAAGAAUGUUGCACUUUCUUAGUAGUUCUUUAACUGUCAACUGUUUUGUGCUAAGGCUAACUGCGGGAUAUGCAGGUAGAAUAAGAACCACACUUCUCAACCGCCAGACCAGGUGGUGUAAAGAGAACAGAUCUGCUAGUUCAGAGGGAAGCACACUGGCUAGAAAGAUGGAUUAAUUUUUCAAUUCUUAGAGUGCUAUCAUACUAUUCCAGGGAUGAAGAUUCGAGCGUGUGGCUUUUUUCUUCAGUAAUCCUGAUAGACUCUGUACUUAAAUCUGCUAUCAAAUUACCAUAUGCAUUCUUAUUAAGAGGAAUUAGGCCACACAGACACCUUCUGCCAUAACUGAAACGACAAAUGUGAUGAAAAAGCUGACUUUGCAAAAGGAAGAAAAGAAGAAGAAAAAAACCCCAUACUUCGCUCAUAAAGAGAAAACAUUUACUAUUCUCAGUUAUUUUAUUGUAUUCUUUUCCCUGGGGUCAGCAAAUAGUUUUUCUUAAGUUGUCCCAUAUUUGCAACUUUUUUGAAUGCAAGAUGACUGCAGUUGGUAAGGACAACAUCUUACUUGGGUUUUGUUUUGCAUAAUUGCAUAUUUAUGCUAAGUAGCUUUAUAGUAUCAUAUAUGUAUGUGAGUGUCCAUUGUCAACUUUGUUGA